rnacentral:tRNA from 1 species
GCGGCGGUAGCUCAAUGGUAGAGUACUAGCCUUCCAAGCUAGUUGUUGAGGGUUCGAGUCCCUUCCGCCGCU